ACGUUAUCGUGGGAAACGGCUUGGGUGGGGACAAAAAAAAAAAAAGGUUACGUUGUUACUUCUUUUGUUCCCUUUUCCCCGUAUUAAAAAGACGUCGUACUUAAUACCUUCAGUUCCUAGUAGUGUGUUGGGCUGUAUUGAAGGCAAAUUGCCCCUUUCAGGAGCUUUCAGCUUAGUUUUCAUUAAAGAGAGGCCGAACCACUCCCUAGCGAUCAGUUAAACUUUUAAAUUCACGUUUUUGUUACCUUUUAUUUUCGUGUCGGAUGUCCUUCCUCACAUCAAGCGCUUUGUUUUAGGUAAUUUUAUAUAAUGUAAUGGGGCUAAGUGUUAAAUAAUUUAUUUUAAUAAUGUGCAUUUGGGGACUUUUAAACAAAAAAAUCUUAAUUUUGUUUUUUUUAAAUCUCUUCCUGUUCUAGGUUUGGCUUUGGUCGUGAGAAACUGCUGAAUUUGCUUGAAGAAACAAAGGGAAAAAAUCUCCCUACAGUUGAGCCUCUGAGAAGACACACAAAAAAAGCCAGCUACAUUUUCGAUCGCCUGUCUUGGGAAGCUGUUAAAGUUCUUUAUGACCUGAAGGAGAACAACUGCCACCAAAACAUAAAAAAAUCAAAAUUAAUAUUUAGCAACAAUCUUCCCUGAGGUUUUUUAGUGAGCAGCUUUUUGCCUCUUUAUUGACCAUCAAAAAGUUGCUAUUUUUUUAAAAUGAGCAAAACCAAAUUCAUUUUUUUCUUUAAAAACAAAGCUUAAUCCAAAAAAGCUAAACCUUGAGGCGCUGUCGACGAGAAAAAUAAUUGGAUAGUAAGUGUCGCAUUUUCAACCAACUGACCAAAAAAAUAUCAUCCAUGUGGAAGUGAGCUAAUGGCACGAAGAAAAGACCAAAAAAAAUGGAGGGGAAGUGGGGAUUAUUUGAGGUGUUAACCCUUACAAUUUGGGCAUUUUGCUACCAAAAAUGCGUAUUUAUAAGGAGUUCGAUGGUGGUCUUAGAUAAUACAUCGUCUCCAGGACUGUCAAGGGUUAAUGAGCUCCCACAUAACAGAUGGUGGUAACUGAGCCAUAAAGUACUACUUCUUUGUGUGGGAGACGUGGAAGUUGAGCUAAAUAAGCAAUCUGUACAUAAAGAUUGCAGGAUAAGAGUCGAAGGGACCAAGAGAGCAAUAACUCUGCAUAGUGGCAAUGAGCUUAAAAUACAGGAUGAUCUGUCAUAGCCUCGUCUUAUUUUUAAAUUUGAUGUCAAUGUUGAAAGUUUUUGUGGGUUUUUUUUACUUGCAAACUUUAAUGAUGUAAUAUGUAGGUAUGUAAAACUGGAAAAAAAUUAGGUGGCAAUCUAGAAAUAAAGAUUGCAAGGUGGCUUGGGAAAAUCGCUUUAAAUCGGUCCAAUAUAUUUUAAAACCCUCAUUAAUUGAAAGAUCUGUUGGACUCAAAUGAGGUCUAAUGUGCUUUUAAAAUGUUCGUCCUUUUUAUAUUCUCCCUCCCCGAUUCCUUGCUGCAAUAUGGCGGUGAUAUUUUAUCUUUUGUCCCUGACAAGCAGCAUUGCUUUUUUUUCCUUUACAGGAUAUUUCCAUUUUUAUUCCAACCCCCCCCCCAUGUGUAGUGGGAAAGCAUGGGAGUGGGGGGGCUAUUAACGCGGCAAAAAUGAAUUAAGGCGAUGAGAUUCUUCUGAAUCUCUGGCGCUUGAACAAGGCAGCUUUUUUUCCCUCAAUUUUAUGUUAAAUAGGUUCUAGUUUAUAGAACUGACAUAAAAAAAUACAAAUAUGUGUCUGUGAUGGAGAUUGUGUUGCUGUAGUUUUCUCAGUAGAUUCAGAAGCCUCUUGCUUUUUUCUAGUCUGCUUAAAAUGGCGCCGGCUGCUUCUUUCCCUUCCUUUGGUAGAAGAGAACCCACAAGGCUUGCUGGGCAGGGAGCUGAUGUAAGCAGCUUGUAGCAAACUCCACCCCCUGAAUGGCUUUCAUUUGGCGCCCGGAGCAAGCAGUCACAGGAUGGAGGGAAGGAGAGAUGGUGGGGGGAGGGCAGGACUAGUUUACCCUUCAUCUCCCUCUUGUCUUAACAUUAAUGAAAUUCCACUCCCACUUCAUCUACAGGAAAUCUCUAGGUAUGGUUUAAUAUAAGUGCAAAGUAUUAUCAUAAAUCCACUGGGUUUCUUUUUAGGUUCCAACAUCACAUGCGAGCUGUGGAUUUCAGUGAUCUCUCCAUGUCUGCUGUACUUUAUAUAAAGAUAAAUUGGUUAAAAUGCCAAUAUUGGUAUUAGGCAGCUAUUGUAUGUUCUUCCCCCCUCCCCUUUUUAAUCUUUUAGUCCUUUUAGGAUUAUUCAGGAGAGCAAAUUUCAUAGUUGAAUCAAACUGUUAAAAAGAUGAAAUGCUACCACUGGACCUGAAACGUUUAAGUGUCAGUGACACUUUCAGGAACUAAUGACAAAAGGUUGGGUGGCCGCAUGCACACAAAUGUCUGGGGCUGGGGGGAUAAGUUUGUAUUAAUUUGCCACAUUCCACAGUUCCUGUACAAUGUACUAGGAAAGAAGUGAUCAUUAGGAAAAAGGGAAGCCAGCACAUGUAUUUCCUCAUCAAUGGGAGGGAAACAGCCACAAUUCCACCUGGUAAGCAAAAUCUUUCUGGUAUUAAUUACAUUUCACAACCUUCAUUUCUGUUCCAGACCACUUUGUCUUUAAUUUUUUUUUUCGGUACUGUUCUCUUCCAUUGUCAACGCCAUGCAGUAACACCAACUGAUGCAUGCAGGCUUUUUAAGGGUGUUAAAUGUUUGCCAAUCUGCUGAGGACAUUAGUGUCUUAUUUAAAAACAAGAAUUCAGUUUCUUAAAUAGGUCUGCAUGAGCAUCAAAUAGCAUUUUUAAAAUGAUGCCAUUAUGAUGUGCCCCCCCCUCCUUUAAGUCUUCAUUCUUUGCUCUGGUGGGGGGAAAUGCUUCACAAAGCAGAAUUUAAUGCCUCCAUCUACGCCUCCGGUGGUAGCAUUUCAUAUUGUUAAGUCUUCUUCCCAGUGAACCAUUGACAGUAUUUUAACUAGAAAACAUGGACCUGGUAGCGUUAAUAGAAGCACUUCUCAUUUCAUCCAGAACUAAAGAACUCGCUGAAGUGCUUUAUAAGAGCCAGGCCCCUAUCUGGGUAACUUAAACUUGGGGGCGGGGAACCAAGUGAGGCAUGCUCUGCUGGGAAGGCAGCACUCCUAACAAAGGAGUGUUAACUGGAUGAAAGAUUACUGCAUCUCAAUGCGUGAACUCAGAAGUUGGGUUUCUGUUAAUCAUCCACCUGAUUUAGACAAGUGUGUUCUUUACCUUCAGUCAUGAUAACAUUAAUUAGAGGGGUAGUGACCUGGGAAAAUAGUACAUUGCUGUUCACAGUAGGUACAAGAUGAUAACAAUUAGCCAUCUUAAUUGCGUCUUAGAUUUAGACUCGAUUGGAUGAGCAUUUUGUACAGCCUCCAUAACUACGAUGCUGUUAUCUAGUCCAGAGUAGGUUAACUGAAGCUGUAGUGGUUCUUAAGCAUUCUACUCAAGGUGUGCUGUGGGACUCUGGUUUGGAAGUAAUUCUCUCUGUAGAAGAGGCGUGUGAAUGCUUGAGCACUCUGCUAUUUUAGAAAUCCAGUAAUACAGGAAAGGACAUGAGGAAAGUUUCCCUUCAGUUAACUAUUCAAAGAAUUCCCUCCCUUGAUGGGGAAACAAUUCUUUUAGAAUCUCAGUUUGCUUAAGGUUCUAAAACCUUGAUUCUGGAAGCCUAGGAAAAGAGCUUCAGUCCUGUAAAGCAGCCCGAUGGACUUAAGCUUCCUGAGUCUUGUUUUAGGGUUCACCUCUGUACCCUGUUAACUACAUUACUUGAUCAGAUGUGAUAGUUACAUUAUUGUGUCAGCCUUUUUGGUGAGGCAAUGAAAUGUCAUAAGACUUGGGGGAAACAGGUUAGAAUGAUCCUUAUGAAUGGUGUAAAAGACAGCUGAAAAAUUGACCACGCUGUAUUUUUCCUGUGAAAGACCCCAACAAGUCUGUGACAUCCCAUUUCCUUCAGCUGAUUGUAUAAGAACCUGGAAGUUGGACUUAGAGCCUUGUCCCCAAUUUGAUGGGUUAGUUCUUUGUUCUGUCUGGUCCUCUGUUUAGAAGAAUUGGGAAGGGAAGAACUAUUCCCUUGCGAAUAAAUGGUUUGUCCUCUAUUUGUACUGGUCCAGAACAGAAUUGGCAGGUCUGAGCAUGCCUAUAGGGAAUGUUAUAUAGGCCUAACUUCCAAAUAAGUGUCUGCAAAUCAGAAAGGUUUGUGGGCCAUCCCUUAAGAGCAACUUCUCCAACUUCCUUUAUAUGGCACCCUGCCUUGAAUUGGUCUGGAAGGUGACUGAAGAGCAGCUCUGCUGCAUCUGUCAUACCAGCUUGGCAGAGCUGGGGUUGCUUGGAGAUUGACAUCUGAGUGAAGUGGGAUGUACUUCUGGCAAACAUCUUCAGGGUUAUAUCAUAUAGGGAUACUUUUCUGGAAUCUUGGUGCUGUCUGAAACUAAUUCAGAGGCUAGCACACAGAUGGGAGUUCAUGGUGUUGGUUGCUUUGAAACAUCAGUAGGAUAGUACAUCCAGAGAAUAUGGCUUUAGGGGGGAAAUGCUGCUAGUUUAAUUGCCUUCCAGUUGACAGUAGUGGUAAAGGGACUGGGACUGCCAUCUUUUGAAAUGCUGAUUUUGAAUCAUUUCAUUGAUGCAGUUCAGUUUCUCCCUAGUUACUUUAAAGGAGGAAGAAAAUGCUUGGGAGGCCUUCAGAAUCCCUACAUGGGCUGAAUUUUAGUAGCAAUUUUGUGCUUCUCCAUCUGCGCUAUUAUUGUGCAGCGAGGGGUAUGUUCAACGGCAGCUAUCAAGCUGUAGUAAUUCCCUUGGGAACAUUUUAAAAACCCACUUUGCUAACGCAAUAGGAUUAUAGAAUACGAAGAUAACUUUUCAGUGGAUUAAAGUCCUGAUUCCAUACUCUAAACUGUAAGUACCAUAUGACUCUCCUCAUGGCAUCCAAUCCUAGAUAAUUCAUUUUCAGGUGGAUUGGAGCACUUGGGAAGAGGUUAUGCUAAAUAGAUGCUUAGAACUGCUUUGCUUGUGAUUUCUGGUGACAUUCACUAUUGGUCGGGCGCCCCCUUCCUCAACACUUUGGUUAAUAAUAGUAACAUCUGCUUCAGUGAGCCCAAACUCUAGUUAUAAAAAGGUCUUCAAGAUGCCUUGCCUGAUUAGCUCAGCAGUAUAAUAGAAGCACACAGCUGUGGAUGAUUGGCUUACAUCUGACAAUGGCUGCCCACCAUUUGGCAGCGCUUAAUACACAAAGCGCUCUGAUAGGAAUACCUUGUUAGGAACUGAUUAAGGUUCCUUGGCUCAUUUCUGGCCUGCUGUGCUGUUUCGGACAGAAAUUUGAUUCUCUUCAGCUUUAUACAGUGGAAAUGGAAUGCUUGGUACAGUUAAUCUCACAGGUGUCAGAAAUUUAAAAUGUCUUUUCUCUGCCUAGACAUUAUUCAAAAAGCUGCAGGUUGUGUAUUGCAAAUUAGGAUUAUUGCUGAAUUUUAGUCUAACCAUUGGUUAUUUUUUUUAAUUACAGGAAAUGUCAGUGGUCUCGCACUUCUGUUUAAAACUGCUAAAUAUUUGUUCAUUUUCUCCUAUUUGAAGCGUAGCCCUUAAUGUUAAUGUAUGUUUAAUAUCCAUGGCAACUUUGAUGGAGUCAAGGGUUAAGUGUUCAGAAUAACAGCUUACGAUGCAAUUCUAAAGAGAGUGUUCUCCAAUCCAAGUCCUUUCAUGUCAGUGGGUUUAGGCUGGAGUAACUCUCUUUAGGAUUGCACUGUAAAUAAGUUGCAUUUAGUUCUCCUAUAGUGCUUCACUAGAAGGAUUUCUUGCCAUGUAACAUUGUGUUUACCAUUGAGGGAUGCUAACAUGAGUGCCUGACUUCUGAAGUGGGAGAGGAUAGUUCUUUUUAAAUAGAAUUGGCAUUAUUGACACCAGGUUGCUUGGUACCAUGGUAAAUUCACUGCCUUUCAGGCUAUAGGCCAGUGAAUUUGAAGCUGGUUCUUCUGUAAAAAAAAGGUUAUGUAAGACACAUCCUGUCCUGUCAACAUUCUGUGCACAGGAGUGCAACAUUUUUGUACUUCCUAAAGCUGGCCUAAAUGCCCCUUGAAAUACUGUUUCUGGGUGACUGAGGACCUUCCCUGGGAUUAAUGGAAGGGAAUGUUGAAAGGGAACAUUUCCUCCUGUUUACAUUUUUUUAACUGAUUUUUAAAAUGAACUCGUUGAUUCUGAAGGUAGUAUAGAAGUGGUUCAUUAUUUCAAAUUUCAUCUGUUAAUUUCUGUGCUAAGUAGUUAGGAUGAAGUGAUUCUGGUUUGGAAGAAGACAUGAUUGACAUGCAAGUCUUGUUUCAUGCUGGGUUUAUUUGCCCGGUCACUUCUUUUAACUAUGAUGCCAGAUUGUGAGGUUAGGUCCUUUAUACCUCACAGAAACUGCCUCUUUAAAACAUGACCCAGUCUCUAGCUCAGCCUUCUUUCCUAGUUUUAAAAACUCAAGAUUUUUCAAGUAAGUACGAUUCUUGAGCAUUUUGGUCGUACAGAGAAACUCUUUUGUGCUAUUCUGCAAGCUGUAGAGAUGUUUACAUGAUAGUGGCAGCUGUUGGAAUCCAUGCUCAGACUGCUCAAGAUUUGGACUGCUGAAAGGAAAAAAAUUGUGAAGGUUCAUAUGGCAGAAGGGCAGCUAUGUAUUAAACUAUAUGGCUUGCAAUAGAGAAUAGUGUUCACACUUAAUUUACACAGGGAAACUAGGGAGGCAUCAUGCUGUCAUGGAUUUACCUUUCCUUUAAGAUUUUAGGCCUUAACUACAGCUUUUUGAAUGAUGCACAGUCCUGUUCAGACCUAGUACAGACAGCUUGAAAAUUUACAUAGUUAAAUUGACAUAAUCAAUUAUCAGGUUUCCUCAUGAAGGGUUUGGGUUUUGACCCCAGUGAUGCAAACAGUUGCAUUCAAUCACAGACUUGCCUGUAAUUUCUCUGGUUGUGUUCAUAAACCUUUAUGAUACCCCACAUGCUCACUCAGAAGCAUGUUCCAACAAGUUUAGCAAGACUUGUCCUAACUAACUGCAUAUGAUUGCAGUGGUAAUGCAGAAGCCUGUAUUUAAAUGAGCAACUUGCAACUGUUUUAGAGAGUAGAGAACAGCUUUCCUGACUUACUAAACAUUUGCAGUGUAUCAUGUUUUACAAACUAGUUCGGGUUAGCUAUGUUUGCUUGCACAUGUAGAUGUAUUCAUGUUGCUUUUUUUCAAAUUCUAGAGAGAUUCAGUGGAGGCAAUCUGAAAAAAAGAAAGCUAUUGUAAUCUGGGAGUUGUGUGUGAACACUUAAAAAUGGGCUUAAAAAGCAACAUUUUUAUAAAAGGUCAAAGUUU